rnacentral:lncRNA from 1 species
UGAAUUGUUUGAAGUUAGAUCUAGUUCUUCAACAAAUCUUUGCAGUUCAAUGGAAAUAGAUCAGUCAGAAAUGAAAACGGGCUUGGCCAAACAAAAAUACCUUAAGAAGAAGAAACAAGUUGGAUUAGAAAGCAAAUCUGAGUUGGAUAGAUAUUUGGGUGAGGAUGAAGAAGUAAACAAUUCAAGUUCAUUUGAUUUACUAUUGUGGUGG